rnacentral:rRNA from 1 species
GACGAACGCUGGCGGCGUGCCUAAUACAUGCAAGUCGAACGCAGGGGGGACGGGUGAGUAACACGUGGGUAACCUCCCAUCAGAGGGGAUAACACUUGGAAACAGGUGCUAAACCGAUACUGAUGGAUGGACCCGGGGUGCAUUAGCUAGUUGGUGGGGUAACGGCUCCCCAAGGCCACGAUGCAUAGCCGACCUGAGAGGGGGAUGGGACAAACGGGGACUGAGAAACGGCCCAGACUCCUACGGGAGGCAGCAGGAGGGAAUCUUCGGCAAUGGACGAAAGCCUGACCGAGCAACGCCGCGUGAGGGAAGAAGGUUUUCGGAUCGUAAAACUCUGUUGUUAGAGAAGCGGUAUCUAACCAGAAAGCCACGGCUAACUACGUGCCAGCCGCCGCGGUAAUUC